GGCUCAGUUGGUAGAGUGCUUGCUUCACAUGCAAGAUGGCCUGGGUUCAACCCCCAG
rnacentral:tRNA from 1 species